CAGGAGAGCCUGGAGAUAAAGGGAAUCCAGGCAGCCCUGGGAAGAUUGGAUCAAUUGGUGUUUCAGGCCCAAGUGGGAAGAAAGGAGAGCUUGGAACAGGAGGCGAAAUGGGGCCCGUGGGUCAGCCAGGAGCUGUGGGUCAUCGUGGACUAAAGGGAAAACUAGGACCUUCAGGACCUUCAGGGGGAAAAGGAUUCAAGGGUCAACCAGGGCCAAAAGGAAUGAGCGGUUCUCAUGGAAGGAGAGGAAGUAAAGGUGUUGCAGGAAAGCCAGGACCUCAUG